GUGUCCAGAAGAGGUGCAAACACGGGGAGGGACAGUCUGGUCAGAGGCUCAGGGAGUGGGGCUGGCAGGCUUUGGUCUCUGCUGGUCUCCCAGCCUGCGGCUGAUGCACGUCUGUUGAAUUUUGCAACAGUCCCCAUCCCUCAAGGAGGUGGUGCUUACCCUGGCAAAAUAAGUGAAAAACAGCAAAGUUGCGGUAACGAAGUGGCACUGAGCUGGAGAGGGCCUGGGCUCCCCCAGAACAAGCUGUUGUUGCUGUUUAUCAAGGGAGAGCAGAUACAUCAGUGUCUUCUGACAGAAAAAGUGAUCGCCAUCAGGAUGGUGAUGACCACGAUGAUCCCUAGGAUGACGAGCAGGAUGCGGUUCUGGAUGAUUCUAGGAGACAGCAAAGGAGAAAAAACACACACAGAUAAGUGGAAGGCCUUCCCACAAACGCCGUCCGAGGCCAGGUUUUUGCCUCUUGGUUUUCAAAAGCUGGGAACCUCUUCUGACCUCUUGGUCACAACACUUUUCACUGAAGAAUCAGGAGCUUCUUCCAGCCAAUGCUCCUGUGUAUUGAUGACUGAUGAUAUCAUGCGUGAGGCCUCACCAGGCCUAGCCAGGCAUCCGCUUCCUGUGUACAGCAGAUCUACAGUGGCUGCGUUCGUUUCCCUAUUCCAAACAGCUGAUGCUACCCCAGCUCCAGGGGUACAGCUGUGACUGAGGCUGAGAUGGUCAGUACAUUCCAUGCCCCUGGCCAUGGUAACUGGACCAGGAGCAGGCUUGUGACUUAAGUCCAUCCAACAGAGUGGAUCUCAGCAACUUUGCUUGAAAUGCGGGGUCACCUGGACAGUUUGGUGUGUGGAUGUCAGGCUGGAUCCACUGCAGGCCUUUUGAUUCAUUGAGGGAAGCCAACCUAAGAAAGAAGCUGACCCACAGUGGGCAGAGAAAUAGAACCCCAGUCCUGAAGACAGAGAACUUUAAUUUUUAACUUUUUUUUUUUUUUUUUUUGAGAUGGAGUCAUUCUCUGUCUCCAGGCUGGAGUGCAGUGGUGCGAUCUCAGCUCACUACAACCUCCCCCUCCCAGGUUCAAGUGAUUCUCGUGCCUCAGCCUCCCAAGUACUUGGGAUUACAGGCACCUGCCACCAUGUCCAGCUAAUUUUUGUAUUUUUAGUAGAGAUGGGGUUUCACCGUGUUGGCCAACCUGGUUCCAAACUUCUGACCUCAGGUGAUCUGCCCAUCUUGGCCUCCCAAAGUGCUGGGAUUACAAGUGUGAGCCACCAUGCCAGGCCGACAGUGAACAUUUUUUUUUUUUUAAAUCAAACCACCCUUUCUUUGGACUUUAACUUAUAUGAGAAAAUAAACUGACUUUAUUUUCCAAA
ensembl:lncRNA novel transcript, antisense to VTI1A